GCCAGGUUCAGCUGAGUCCAGAUCAUCCAGCAAGUUCAUGGUGAUGAGGCAGGUCUGAGGUUACAGAAUCCAGUUCGCAGGUCAGAAUCAGGCCCAAUGACUAUAACCAGGGUGAGGUCCAGUCCAGUGAUCACCAGGCAGGUCUGUGGUCAAGUUGGGAAGUCAGUGUGUGGAUCAGGGUCCAGAUCAAUGGGAUCCAUAGCCAGGUAUGGGCAUAGCUGUGCCUGAGCUACAGUGAUAUACAGUGAUAUAUAUAUCACUCCUGUGAUAUAGCUCAGGUUGGGACUAAAGACCCACCCUCCAAAUGAGCUUAAACGGAGCCAUGGGCAAAGGGUGUGGGUAGAGUUCCCGGGUGAGUUUGGUUAGGAUCAUUAAGGCUAAUUAGUGCCCUCUGGGGCCCUCAGGUCACCCUCUGGAGUUUAUCUUGUCUCUGAGAUCUGUACCAGCAGGGCAAGUCAAGAACUAAGUUUAGAGAGGAUGCCUAGGUUUCCACAUGGAAAGCCUAAAGGAGAGCUGGAUUAGACCUGAGCCAGGUAGAGCAAUUAUGCUUUAUCUGGAGGAUGAAAGGAGGUAAAUGUCCUCUGGGGAUAGCAGUCUGCAUGCAGGAGGCCAGGUUUGUAUGCUGUGUUGAGAGCAAACACAGGAAUCGCUCUCUAGGCUCAUUUCUAGGUGAGAGGACACUCAGGCAACUGGGAACAAUGAAGGCUACAGAAGUGAAGAGCCCUUUGGGCUGUCUAAAACAAAAAAGGAAGAACAGUAAUUCAUGCAGAACCAUUGCUUGCUCUAUUUUCUCUCUCCUCCAGAGAAAGCUGUAUAGAUGUAGAAAACAGCUUCUGAAGACAGAGGAGAGACAGGGCCUUCAGCUGAGGAGCCCAGUCCUCUUUACUGAAGAGCAUCUCCUCAGGACCUGAAAUUAAGCUGAUAGAACCACAGUUCCUUUCAUCCCUUCCUUGAAGGUCAGUGCAACACUUCUUUCUCCCAUUUCUCUGAAUAUCCUCAGGAGGAAUUACAGUAAGUCAAGCUGCUUGGAAAACAUUUCCCUUUUCAAGGUUUUUCCCAAGGUGUUCUUCCUUCUUUCAGCAUGGCUUUUCAUCUUAUAUCCACUGCUGCUAACAGGAUACAUCAGCCAAUAACAGUUGACAGUUCUACGAAACACAGAAAAUGAGGAAGACGUUAUUUCUGUCUCCUCAAAGUCAUGAUCAUCUUGCAGGGAGCUUUCCCUCCGUAAUAAGAAAUAACCUACUAUUUCCUUUGCCUUUUGGCUAUUUCAGCAUUGGCUUCUUCAGAUCGUGGUCACACUCCAUCCCAUACAUCCUGAUAGUUCAACCAUGUAGAUGUCAGCUCCUACUUUGGCUGUCUUCUGGAGUGACUUACCUUUGAAUUCAACUCCUCCAUACAGCACUGUACAUAGCAAGCCAGAGACACUAGCCUUGGGAACUCAACCUGAGGACAGCUCCCAAAGGUGGUGGAACCAAUCUGGGUGAGAUUUAUGACCCUUUCUUUUAGGCACUUUGGAUGGAUUUAGUUGCUCACACAUAGGCAUCUAGCAUUUUCGAGGAAAAACUGUCUUCUGCCUGGAUGCCAGAAGGAGUGUGUAUAUCUGCCAGCACCCUGAGGAUCUCCUGGCUGUGGCAAAUGGCACCUUGAUGAGGAUUAACUAAAUGAAGGCCCAUAAUAUAAAUGCACAGUCACUGCAGUCUCCCUUCAGAACAAAUGAGCAUCUCUAAAAUGCAUUAGUCUUAGUGUUCUGUUCUGUGUGUUUCUUUUUUUUUUUUUGAUUGUACAUCUCUUACUAAAGCCGUGGUUUCUUCUACCAUCACCUUGCAACUAACAUCAGGCUGAAGGGUGAGGAAGUGAGUCAGGUGCCUAAUGCCAGUUUAGAUUCACUUAAGGAAUCGAAGUCAUUGACUUGAGACUGCCAGCUAUGAUAUGGGACAAACAAGAGACCUGUGCUUUUGUAGAGCUGAGGCUGGAGUUCAGGAAGGAUGCCCAAGGGUGUCUGGUAUGGGUUUAGGGACCUAUAUUUAGACCUCCACCUUGUUUCUCUGAAAGCGUUCCAAAGAAUUCAACCACUUGUUCUGUGAAUCAUCAUAGAUAACAAACCUAUUCUGUGGUUUAAAAACUACUGGUUAGGGUUAAUCAUCAGCUCUGUGGCUGCUAUAUUGAUGCUGCCUCCUACUGCAUUAACUAUGAUAUCCUACAUUACAGAAUCACAGAAUCGUUUAGGUUGGCAGGGCCCUCUGGAGAUCAUCUAGUCCAACCUCCCUGCUCCAGCAGGGGCACCUAGAGCAUAUUGCCCAGGAUCACAUCCAGACGGGUUUUGAAUAUCUCCAGGGAAGGAGACUCCACUACCCCUCUGGGCAACCUGUUCCAGUGCUCUGUCACCCUCACAGUCAAGAAGUUUUUUCUCAGGUUCAGGUGGAACUUCCUGUGGUUCAGUUUCUGCCCAUUGCCUCUUGUCCUGUUGCUGGGCACCACGGAGAAGAGGCUGGCCUCAUCCUCUUGACACUCCCCCUUCAGAUACUUAUACACGUUGAUGAGAUGGCCUCAUUCAUGUCAUCGUGACCAUCCUGAAAAUCCCUUCUACCACAGAGCUGAAAAAGGUAUUUUCCACCUGUUCCUCUCACCUCACUGCGGUGACAAUUUUCUAUGAGUAUGUACCCCUUGUGUAUCUGUCACCAAACCUAAGCACCAUCAGACACCAUAACAAAAUGUUAUCCCUCUUCCACACUGUUGUGAGCCCCUGACCAACCCCUUUAUAUACAGCUUGAGAAACACAGAGGUGAAAGAAGCUCUGAAAAGGGCAGCCAAGAAAUGCAGUUCCAGAGGAUGGUAGGCAUACAUACCAUCCCGUGAGAGAAAAAGAGAGGACUGCCUGUUCUCUGUGGCAAUCUUGUAGUUAAGGUUUGGGCACUCUGCUGAUGUGCUGGUCUAGGACCUCAGGAGCUGCAGAGACUUCCAAGCAUGAACACUGAGUGAUGGUAACGGCACAUCAUAUUGAUAAUAAAACUGAGUGGCCUGAGGACUGUGAUAUUUUA
rnacentral:lncRNA from 1 species